rnacentral:rRNA from 1 species
AGUGAACGCUGGCGGUAGGCCUAACACAUGCAAGUCGAACAGCAGCACAGUAAGAGCUUGCUCUUACGGGUGGCGAGUGGCGGACGGGUGAGGAAUACAUCGGAAUCUACUUUUUCGUGGGGGAUAACGUAGGGAAACUUACGCUAAUACCGCAUACGACCUACGGGUGAAAGCAGGGGAUCUUCGGACCUUGCGCGAUUGAAUGAGCCGAUGUCGGAUUAGCUAGUUGGCGGGGUAAAGGCCCACCAAGGCGACGAUCCGUAGCUGGUCUGAGAGGAUGAUCAGCCACACUGGAACUGAGACACGGUCCAGACUCCUACGGGAGGCAGCAGUGGGGAAUAUUGGACAAUGGGCGCAAGCCUGAUCCAGCCAUACCGCGUGGGUGAAGAAGGCCUUCGGGUUGUAAAGCCCUUUUGUUGGGAAAGAAAAGCAGCAGGUUAAUACCCCGCUGUUCUGACGGUACCCAAAGAAUAAGCACCGGCUAACUUCAUG